rnacentral:rRNA from 1 species
UUCUUCGGGACAGAGAGAGCGGCGUACGGGUGCGGAACACGUGUGCAACCUGCCUUUAUCAGGGGGAUAGCCUUUCGAAAGGAAGAUUAAUACCCCAUAAUAUAUUGAAUGGCAUCAUUUGAUAUUGAAAACUCCGGUGGAUAGAGAUGGGCACGCGCAAGAUUAGAUAGUUGGUGAGGUAACGGCUCACCAAGUCAGUGAUCUUUAGGGGGCCUGAGAGGGUGAUCCCCCACACUGGUACUGAGACACGGACCAGACUCCUACGGGAGGCAGCAGUGAGGAAUAUUGGACAAUGGGUGAGAGCCUGAUCCAGCCAUCCCGCGUGAAGGACGACGGUUCUAUGGAUUGUAAACUUCUUUUAUACUGGGAUAAACCUACCCUCGUGAGGGUAGCUGAAGGUACAGUAUGAAUAAGCACCGGCUAACUCCGUGCCAGCAGCCGCGGUAAUACGGAGGGUGCAAGCGUUAUCCGGAUUUAUUGGGUUUAAAGGGUCCGUAGGCGGAUCUGUAAGUCAGUGGUGAAAUCUCAUAGCUUAACUAUGAAACUGCCAUUGAUACUGCAGGUCUUGAGUAAAGUAGAAGUGGCUGGAAUAAGUAGUGUAGCGGUGAAAUGCAUAGAUAUUACUUAGAACACCAAUUGCGAAGGCCGGUCACUAUGUUUUAACUGACGCUGAUGGACGAAAGCGUGGGGAGCGAACAGGAUUAGAUACCCUGGUAGUCCACGCCGUAAACGAUGCUAACUCGUUUUUGGGUUUUCGGAUUCAGAGACUAAGCGAAAGUGAUAAGUUAGCCACCUGGGGAGUACGUUCGCAAGAAUGAAACUCAAAGGAAUUGACGGGGGCCCGCACAAGCGGUGGAUUAUGUGGUUUAAUUCGAUGAUACGCGAGGAACCUUACCAAGGCUUAAAUGGGAAUUGACAGGUUUAGAAAUAGACUUUUCUUCGGACAAUUUUCAAGGUGCUGCAUGGUUGUCGUCAGCUCGUGCCGUGAGGUGUUAGGUUAAGUCCUGCAACGAGCGCAACCCCUGUCACUAGUUGCCAUCAUUCAGUUGGGGACUCUAGUGAGACUGCCUACGCCCCUAGAGAGGAAGGUGGGGAUGACGUCAAAUCAUCACGGCCCUUACGCCUUGGGCCACACACGUAAUACAAUGGCCAGUACAGAGGGCAGCUACCAGGCGACUGGAUGCGAAUCUCGAAAGCUGGUCUCAGUUCGGAUUGGAGUCUGCAACUCGACU